rnacentral:rRNA from 1 species
UACGAAGGGGGCUAGCGUUGCUCGGAAUCACUGGGCGUAAAGCGCACGUAGGCGGCUUUUUAAGUCAGAGGUGAAAUCCUGGAGCUCAACUCCAGAACUGCCUUUGAUACUGAGAGGCUUGAGUCCGGGAGAGGUGAGUGGAACUGCGAGUGUAGAGGUGAAAUUCGUAGAUAUUCGCAAGAACACCAGUGGCGAAGGCGGCUCACUGGGACGUCACUGACGCUGAGACGCGAAAGCGUGGGGAGCAAACAGG